rnacentral:rRNA from 1 species
GACGAACGCUGGCGGCGUGCUUAACACAUGCAAGUCGAACGAAGUGGCGAACGGGUGAGUAAUACGUGGGUAACCUGCCCUGCACUUCGGGAUAAGCCUGGGAAACUGGGUCUAUUACCGGAUAGUGUGGGAUGGGCCCGCGGCCUAUCGGCUUGUUGGUGGGGUAAUGGCCUACGAAGGCGGCGACGGGUAGCCGGCCUGAGAGGGUGGACGGCCACAUGGGGACUGAGACAGGGCCCAGACGCCUACGGGAGGCAGCAGUGGAGAAUAUUGCACAAUGGGCGGGAGCCUGAUGCAGCGGCGCCGCGUGGGGGAUGACGGCCUGCGGGUGGUAAACUCCUUUGACCGUAGACGCGGUAGAUGGAGAAGAAGCACCGGCUAACUACGUGCCAGCAGCCGCGGUAAUUC